rnacentral:lncRNA from 1 species
UCUAAACUAGGUAUGAUGGCACUCAAGCUACCUAUGUGAGUUAGGUACAAACAUGAAAAUAACUCCUAAAUAUAAUCCUACACUCAAGGGAAAGAACUAUAGAAACCGAGAAAACUUAAUAAGAACCAGACAGUCAAGCAUUCAAUACAAUAUACAUAGCUAUAACCUUUGAGAUCUCGCACACUUAUCGGUAGCUACUUCGUGGCAUGACAAACAGGGUAGACUCUACUCUUAGUGGUUCAAGAUCCUCUCAUCUCCAUCCAAGUGCCAACUUACAUCUCAUCUUUCUUGGUUCACGUGGAAACUUGCUUCAAUGUAGGUAAGAUAGAAGAUUUCAAGGCAAGAGAGGUAGAAUCAAUAUAAGUCAAGGAUGUAUACAGGAAAUAGAACAUUUAGAAUGUUCUAAGGCUAACGACCAAACUAGGGUUGCAUGCUACGGUCAAGUUCAGCUCUGAUACUAUCUGAAACGAACUAGAUUUUCAUUUCUGAGAAUCCGACUCCCUGUACCCUUGCGAUAGUUCCUGGAUCAGUAGCUAUCACAUACAGAACUCAUUUCAGCAUAAUAUCAUUUCCAUACAACAAAAUCAACUCAGAAUACAAAUAUGAUACAGCCCCCUUGGGCUAAACAACAUACAAAACUCAUACGCAGCGGAAACUAGGGCUUCAAGUUUUCAUCUCCGAUCUUCACCAUAGGCAUCCUUGAGAGAAGCAACGCGACCCUUUCUUCAUGAAUUCUUCAUGAUUGGACUUUCACUCCAAGUCCAUACCUGCAC